AAAUGGGAGAUAUGCCUGUGUCAUGUCUUUGCACAUCUAACUAUUCUAGCUGAACUGAAUGAUGAUAUGAAGGGAGAGGAAAUAAUUUCCAGAGCAGGGAACCAACAGUGCGAAAAGCUCAGCCCCGCUGAGAUUUCUGUGCAGAGGAGAAGUGAUGCAGACAGGAUACCCUGCUCCUGCCACCACAUCUCACCUCGAAUCAAGCUAAGCCAUUUCUCAAGACCUUUGCCUUUUCACAAGUGCAGACUUUCACCCAAGAGUUCAACAGUAAAGUGAGAACAAGAAACAGCUAAAUGUAGGAAUGCAAAAACAUGGGAUACAGUGAAUUCUCUUUUCCAGCUUCCUUUCUGGGACUCUAAUCUGUCAUCCUUAUGUGCCAAGCAACAAAAGAAUGAUUUACUUUUCUCUGUAUAAAAUCUGUUUUUUUUUUUUUGUUUGUUUUCUAUGCCAAUUCAGAUAUUUUUAUUGGUUGUAUCUGUGGCUGUUUAACAAUGACAUUACUUGCAGGGGGAAAAAAAAUGUGCAAAUAAAGUAAUCUAUUUAAGUCA
rnacentral:lncRNA from 1 species